CCUACGGGAGGCAGCAGUGGGGAAUAUUGGACAAUGGGGGGAACCCUGAUCCAGCCAUGCCGCGUGUGUGAAGAAGGCCCUCGGGUUGUAAAGCACUUUCAGUGAGGAAGAACGCCUGGUGGUUAAUACCCAUCAGGAAAGACAUCACUCACAGAAGAAGCACCGGCUAACUCCGUGCCAGCAGCCGCGGUAAUACGGAGGGUGCGAGCGUUAAUCGGAAUUACUGGGCGUAAAGCGCGCGUAGGUGGCUUGAUAAGCCGGUUGUGAAAGCCCCGGGCUCAACCUGGGAACGGCAUCCGGAACUGUCAAGCUAGAGUGCAGGAGAGGAAGGUAGAAGUCCCGGUGUAGCGGUGAAAUGCGUAGAGAUCGGGAGGAAUACCAGUGGCGAAGGCGGCCUUCUGGACUGACACUGACACUGAGGUGCGAAAGCGUGGGUAGCAAACAGGAUUAGAUACCCGAGUAGUC
rnacentral:rRNA from 1 species